UGCUUCGGCAGCACAUACGGUAUACUGAAAUUAGAAUGAUACAGAGAAGAUUAAUAUGGCCCCUGUACAAGGAGGGCAUGCAAAUUUGUGAAGCAUUCCAUGUUUCU